CUGAGGAGAGCUGGGCGGUGGGAAUUCGAUUCUGAGCAGGUCAAACCCGAGUCAGUCAGAGUAGGACUCCAGUUGGAACUUGCGGGGUCACAGCCUACUAGUGAGAAAAGCAUAUUUCUAGAGUGCUUCCGCGCCGCCACCAGCCGUGGGCUGGGACUACAAGUCCCGGCCGGCAGGACUCCAGGAGCGGGGGCGGGAGAGGGCGGUGGUGGGAAGAGAAGCAUGCUGGGAGCUGUAGUGUCAUCCCCACAUUCACAGCAGCUCACAUUCACUGGAGAUGUUAAUGGGAAAUACAAUGUCUAAAAGACAGGAAGCAGGAGAGAAAUGGAGGAUCCUCCAACUGGAUACUCAGGAUGAUGCCACAGUUGUGGUAGGUGUGGCCCUGUCACUAGCGUGAUGCUGGAAGAAAAGCUUCUGCUUCCCACCAAGGCCAAGUCCAAGUCAUUGGAGUAGGAAUAGAUAGGGUUGUUCUUGCUCUGGGCGAAGGUGGGAGAGAAAGCGAAAAGAGUACUGUAAGUGAAUCAUCCUGACAGGAGACUGUAUUGAGUCCUGUUUCUAUCGUUCUGUACUUUAGUUUUUACAGAAUGGCCUUAAGAGUCAGCCGUCCAGUUCCUUGAACGUAGAUAAUUCAUUUUUUUAUGCUUUGUUCUGCCUUCCAAAUUUAUUUUCAGAAAAAUGUGGAUCAACUAAGUUUGAACUCAAUUUUAACUGGUACUCAGUUUUAACUGGUACUUAAUUUGUUAACUCCUCAAGUAUUAAUUGCUCAAAGAAAAAUAAAACAAUUAUCUCAGAAAUGGAUUUGGAAAUUUUAUUUUUAAAAAGGGGAAAAAAUUGCUAACAUUUCUUACAGCAGUUCUGUGCUGUAACUUUCCACUGCCAACAUCUGAG